rnacentral:rRNA from 1 species
UACGUAGGGUGCAAGCGUUAAUCGGAAUUACUGGGCGUAAAGCGUGCGCAGGCGGUUUGUUAAGUCUGCUGUGAAAUCCCCGAGCUCAACUUGGGAAUUGCAGUGGAUACUGGCAGGCUGGAGUAUGGUAGAGGAAGGUGGAAUUCCCGGUGUAGCAGUGAAAUGCGUAGAGAUCGGGAGGAAUACCAGUGGCGAAGGCGGCCUUCUGGACCAAUACUGACGCUCAUGCACGAAAGCGUGGGGAGCAAACAGG